CGUUAGUUGUCGACGGUGUCGAGCCUUGUACGACGUCGAUUUCUUUCGUAUCGUGUUGCGCAAAUAUCGGCCUCCGAGGAUAUCUCUCGUAAGAUCGGAUCUCUCUUGGAGACGAUUUUCGGGAUGGUAUCCGGUGAUUGGAUUACCGGGGAGGAGGAAUUUGAACUUGGGCCAAGACGCUCGAGUUGUCGCAAACGACGAUGCGUCUUGCGGCAUUGACGAGACCGAGGGUCGCCGAUUGUUGAUCGCGUUUCGAAUUUCUUACGUUGCUCGCCGAUAGCGAUUAGACCCAGUUUAGAUUCGGCAGACCGAUUCGUGUUUCCAUCGCGUUUCUCGUUCGAUAGAUCCGUGCAAACGUUCGACCUUUAACGGAGAGACGUUGAUCGCCUCUAUCGACAUUCCUUUCUGGAUUACGAUUUUUACCAUAAUCGAGAUUUUACUUCGUUUGUCGUUGAAGAAAUUCUGCCGACCGAGUUACGUGAAUCUUAUACGUUUAUAAAGUACAUCGAGUAUCUUUCGCUCUUUAAUUUUAUUUCGCAUAUUUCAUUCUUGUUCUUUACUUUUAUCGUUAAGCCUAAUAUCGGUUCUAACGGGCGCGGCGGCGAUCAACGUGUCGUUUGUCCACGACAUAAACUUUGUUCUAGUAAAACAUCGGGAAACGAACUCGGCCGAUUUUCUAAUAACGCGAGAACUCGUUGAAAUUUUGUCACUAAUCCACUUACAAUGUCUCCACGUUUACAGUUUGUGCUGGAUUGCCUUAAUUUGACGAAAGGUGGUGUUAACAACAUGUUUACUAAUCUCACAUGUUACGUAAUCCAGCUUCUUUUAGUUCUAUAGUCGUAAAUACCGCGCGCAAAUGAUAUAUACAGUCCCCACGGCCAUGUUUCGAUCUAUUCGAUGAUAAUGGGAGUGCGCAAUACGCGAUUACCAGGUAUCACGUAGAUUCUUUCUCGACACCGCUCCCUGUGAGAUGUCAAUAGUAACUUCGCUACCAGCGAAUUCAAUUCGAUGUGUACGCAAUCGCGUGCGAUUAUUAACCGAAUUAAAAAGUACCGUUAACGUACCAAACACGUAUACGAACCGAUGUAAAGUUCCAAACAGAGUUCCGAUGUUAAACGCAACGAAUCCAGCGUUGCCCGAAAAGAAAAUUCAUCCCCCUUCCGUACGUUCACACUGUAGCGAUAAUUAACGAUAGAUCGACGUAGAGACAGUCGCGGGAAUAUACGAACGAUAGUCGUUUGUAGUCGUUGCGUUUCUUUUCGCGUACACGUUGAAUUCGUAGCGAUUAAAUUGCAAUUAGAGACGCGAAAGUUUGAGGCACUCAGGCGGCGCAGUUUCAUAACGAUACUUGCCCCUACACACCACAAACAAUACACAUUGCACACACUGUUGCUCGGAAAUGAAACAACACUAUGGCGGGGUAAAGAAACGGCUAUCUGAUUAGGCACCUCCCAACGAAUCCAAACCAGGGCCGUCUUAACUGCACCCCCUGUGCACAUCGGUCCACUGGACCCUUAAUUAAAAGCUAGAACGAAAAAAGAAAAAAAAAAAAGAAAAUGAAA